UUCCGGUUGAUCCUGCCGGACCUGACUGCUAUCGGAUUGAUACUAAGCCAUGCGAGUCAUUGUAGCAAUACAAGGCAGACGGCUCAGUAACGCGUAGUCAACCUAACCUAUGGACGGGAAUAACCUCGGGAAACUGAGAAUAAUGCCCGAUAGAACACUAUGCCUGGAAUGGUUUGUGUUCCAAAUGAUUUAUCGCCGUAGGAUGGGACUGCGGCCUAUCAGUUUGUUGGUGAGGUAAUGGCCCACCAAGACUAUUACAGGUACGGGCUCUGAGAGGAGUAGCCCGGAGAUGGGUACUGAGACACGGACCCAGGCCCUAUGGGGCGCAGCAGGCGAGAAAACUUUGCAAUGUGCGAAAGCACGACAAGGUUAAUCCGAGUGGUUUGUGCUAAACAGACCUUUUGUUAGUCCUAGAAACACUAACGAAUAAGGGGUGGGCAAGUUCUGGUGUCAGCCGCCGCGGUAAAACCAGCACCUCAAGUGGUCAGGAUGAUUAUUGGGCCUAAAGCAUCCGUAGCCGGCUCUGUAAGUUUUCGGUUAAAUCUGUAUGCUCAACAUACAAGCUGCCGGGAAUACUGCAGAGCUAGGGAGUGGGAGAGGUAGACGGUACUCGGUAGGAAGGGGUAAAAUCCUUUGAUCUAUUGAUGACCACCUGUGGCGAAGGCGGUCUACCAGAACACGUCCGACGGUGAGGGAUGAAAGCUGGGGGAGCAAACCGGAUUAGAUACCCGGGUAGUCCCAGCUGUAAACUAUGCAAACUCAGUGAUGCAUUGGCUUGUGGCCAAUGCAGCGCUGCAGGGAAGCCGUUAAGUUUGCCGCCUGGGAAGUACGUACGCAAGUAUGAAACUUAAAGGAAUUGGCGGGGGAGCACCACAAGGGGUGAAGCCUGCGGUUCAAUUGGAUUCAACGCCGGAA
rnacentral:rRNA from 1 species